GACGAACGCUGGCGGCGUGCCUAAUACAUGCAAGUUGAGCGCUGAAGGUUGGUACUUGUACCAACUGGAUGAGCAGCGAACGGGUGAGUAACGCGUGGGGAAUCUGCCUUUGAGCGGGGGACAACAUUUGGAAACGAAUGCUAAUACCGCAUAAAAACUUUAAACACAAGUUUUAAGUUUGAAAGAUGCAAUUGCAUCACUCAAAGAUGACCCCGCGUUGUAUUAGCUAGUUGGUGAGGUAAAGGCUCACCAAGGCGAUGAUACAUAGCCGACCUGAGAGGGUGAUCGGCCACAUUGGGACUGAGACACGGCCCAAACUCCUACGGGAGGCAGCAGUAGGGAAUCUUCGGCAAUGGACGAAAGUCUGACCGAGCAACGCCGCGUGAGUGAAGAAGGGUUUCGGAUCGUAAAACUCUGUUGGUAGAGAAGAACGUUGGUGAGAGUGGAAAGCUCAUCAAGUGACGGUAACUACCCAGAAAGGGACGGCUAACUACGUG
rnacentral:rRNA from 1 species